CACAGAGUUAGUCGAUGCUUAUUCCCCAGAUACCGUCAUUGCUUCUUCUCUGGGAAAAGAAGUUCAGGACCCGUAGGCCUUCUACCUCCACGCGGCAUUGCUCCGUCAGGCCUUCGCCCAUUGCGGAAAAUUCCCCACUGCUGCCUCCCGUAGGAGUCUGGGCCGUGUCUCAGUCCCAGUGUGGCUGAUCAUCCUCUCGGACCAGCUACUGAUCAUCGCCUUGGUAAGCUAUUCGCCUCACCAACUAGCUAAUCAGACGCGACGCCCCUCCGUCGGGCGGACUUCCCUCCUUUUGCUCCUCACGCCUACGGGGUAUUAGCAGUCCGUUCCAGCUGUUCGUUCCCCUCCGAAGGCAGGUUCUUACGCGUUACUCCACCCGUCCGCCACGUACGGAAACCACCACCUUCCCCGUACCGUACUUGCUAUGUAGUUAAGC
rnacentral:rRNA from 1 species